CUGGCCUCAGAGGUGACUCUCUUGCUUGCUGUCUCACCACUUUUCUAUUCUUUCUUGGAGACCAGCAUUGAAGUUGGCCAUGUUUUAAGACUAGCAACAGGAGAUGGACAGAUUGUGGACAGAGUUGCUCAAAAACUUCACAAGAAAAACUUCAAGGGAGGCCCCAAGACUGACUUUGAUCUUCCUGUGGAAUAUGUCAGCAGAAAAGUUCAGGAGUUCCACUGUCGCCAGAGAGCACUGACCAUUGACCUGUACUGCACUGCUGAUACUGACUUCAUCUGUUUGGCUGCAAAAGUAUGUUGAGAGAAUAACUAACAAGAAGCUGGUCUCCAAAUGGAAGAAGAUAAAUAGAUGAGAAGAAGGCAAGUUAAAGAAAGAGAAAAUAUAGGAAUUUAUGGAUUACUUUUCAAACUGUACAAGAAAGAGUUUGGCACAUAUGAUGAUAUGUCACUAAUGAAGAAAUGGCCUCAUAAGUCCAGAGAAGUUGCACUAUGUAUGACAGUGAAAUUAAACAAAAGCACUACUUCUCUGUGAUGUGUACAACUGGGUCACAGUGACAUUUGUUUUAUUCUUAAAGAGUAGCUUGAUAUUUCUGAUGCUCUAGAUAGAUUUAAAUUGUGAGGUAACUUUAAUAUUUCAUUGUGAAAAUGACCACUGUUAAUAGCAUAACUAAUGUAUAAUAGUGGCUCUGGUUUGACUUUAAUGGUGGACUGAGUGCC